CACGUAAUAUUCAGUUUUGGAUUAUUUUACAGACAUUGUUGAUAUAAAACACUCAUCAGAGCAGGUACAGUCAGUCGUACAUGUAAUGUCUAUAGCACAGGCUGUAAAACAGGGCUGGGCCUGUGGCAGGGGAACAUAUCCUGCCUUUUACAGCAGGGUCACUCACUAAACCGCACCCCGACACAAACACACCACCCGGCCUCUCAGAGACACUGUAGCCCAGUCACACCUCAGUUGGUCAGUAUCUGCUGUGUGUUGGGAGGUGAGGGAAGGUUGAUUGGGUACAAAUUCAGUUGUUACGUGUCCUGUAUCUGUCCCAUCUUGUUAUUGAUGAUUGAUAAAUGAUCUUGCAAUAACAAUAUAUGCCAUUUCUCAGAUGCUUCUACCCAAAGCAACACACUUUUUAACUUAUGGGUGACCCCAGCGGGAAUUGAACCCACAAUCCUGGUGUUGCAAGUGCCAUGCUCUACCAAUGGGGCUACAGAGGACCACCAUGUACUGAUCCAGUUGUUAUGUGUUGUCUGUCUGUCAUUAUUAAGCCCAGUAAUAAUGGUCUGAUGGGCGUAAAGGAAGUAUAUUACGUUGAAGUGAAUAAACCAGGUGGUAGUUUAUUGUAAACCCAGUUGGUAGGUCAGGUGGUAGUUUAUUAUAAACCCAGUUGGUAGGUCAGGUGGUAGUUUAUUAUAAACCCAGUUGGUAGGUCAGGUGGUAGUUUAUUAUAAACCCAGCUGGUAGGUCAGGUGGUAGAUUAUUAUAAACCCAGUUGGUAGGUCAGGUGGUAGGUCAGGUGGUAGAUUAUUAUAAAC
ensembl:lncRNA